GAAAGACCUGUAAGACUUUCUCCUACAUCAU
rnacentral:tRNA from 1 species